rnacentral:rRNA from 1 species
AUUGAACGCUAGCGGGAUGCCUUACACAUGCAAGUCGAACGCGUGGCGGAGGGGUGAGUAAUAUAUCGGAACGUGCCCAAUAGCGGGGGAUAACUACUCGAAAGAGUGGCUAAUACGGCAUACUCGUGGCGUGGCCGAUAACGGAUUAGCUAGUGGGUGGGGAAAAGGCUCACCAAGGCCACGAUCCGUAGCUGGUUUGAGAGGACGACCAGCCACACUGGAACUGAGACACGGCCCAGACUCCUACGGGAGGCAGCAGUGGGGAAUUUUGGGCAAUGGGCGAAACCCUGAUGCAGCCAUCCCGCGUGUAUGAGAAGGCCUUCGGGUUGUAAAGUACUGUUAGUAGGGAAGCGGUAUCUGCAGAAUAAGCACCGGCUAACUACGUGCCAGCAGCCGCGGUAAUUC